rnacentral:lncRNA from 1 species
GUGAAGACGGAUGGAGCGCGAUGGAGAGCCGGGUGAGCGAUGAGCUCAUUAGGGAGGGUCUCUCAUCUUGACCCUUUCCAGGUCAGGUGGGGACAGCCCGGAGUUUUGAGAGGUGGAUGAACACUGGUCUGGCUGUGACAGGUGCUCCAUCUGGGGCUGCUGGGGAAGGGGCAAGGCUGCCCUCCCCAAGGGGACCAUCUCAUCGUGACCCCCCCACGUGCUAACUUCUCUGAGCCCAGUUUCCUGAUGAGGCAUGGGGGCCACAGGACACAGGCCUGGAAGCAGUGAGAAGCAGUUUCAAGAGGGAGUGCAUCCAGGUGCAGAGAUCUGGGACCGAGAUCUCUUUCUUUGCCUCCCCCACUUCACCUGGGUACCCCUGUGAUGGUUACUAUUGAGUGUCAACUUGACUGGAUUGAAGGAUGCAAAGUAUUGUUCCUGGGUGUGUCUGUGAGGGUGUUGCCAAAGGAGAUUAACCUUUGAGUCAGUGGACUGGGAAAGGCAGACCCACCCCCAGUCUGGGUGGGCACAAUCUAAUCAGCUGCCAGAGUGGCCAGAAUAAAAGCAGGUAGAAGAACGUGGAAAUUCUAGACUGGUUUAGUCUUCCAGCCUACAUCUUUCUCCCGUACUGGAUGCUUCCUGCCCGCGAACAUCAGACUCCAAGUUCUUCAGCUUUGGGACUCUUGGACCUUCGACCACAGACUGAAGGCUGCACUGUUGGCUUCCCUACUUUUGGGGUUUUGGGAUUCGGACUGGCUUUCUUGCACCUCAGCUUGCAGAUGGCCUAUUGUAGGACCUCACCUUGUGAUCAUGUGAGUCAAUACUCCGUAAUAAACUCCCCUUCAUCUAUACAUCUAUCCUGUUAGCACUGUCCCUUUAGAGAACC